rnacentral:lncRNA from 1 species
GGAAGCCCCUCUUUGUAUCCCCGCCCAGCUCCUUAUUGAACACAUGAAGGUGCUCCAGAGUUUCAAGAAGGGAGUGGCACACACACUUUGCUGCACUCCAAGCUUUUGGAGGUCCACCGGCACACUGCACACUGUUUUCAUAAAUGUGUGUGCAGAGUGCAAGACAGAGAGGGGCAAGGAUGGAGGAUGCAUCAACAUUCACAGCAUCAUACUUUCUUUUUUGCGGAAAGUAGUUCACACAGUUUUGACUGAAAGAUUAUGUCAUCAUUCAUAUUGACAGAUUUCAUGACUUAACAUUGUGCAUCAAAUCACUUCAUUACAUGUCAGCGUAUAUUUAGCUACAAGGAGUAAUUGUUUAUGAAAUUUGCAAUGUAUAAAAUUGACUUAUAAGAGAUCUUGCAUUAUGAAGAUUUGUUUAAAGGGCUUUCUUUAUUAGCAUGAUCUAGUUGCAUCAUUCUUAACAGUCCACAUUUUACAGACAUGAACCAUUGUCCAUUGCACUUCCUGUAGGUGGAAUUUCAGUUAACACUGCAAGUUGUGUGUGUGUGUAGCUUUGUGGCAAGUGUGCCAGUCAUUCCUUGAUGUCACUGUCUUUCAUGUAGGGAAAAAUGUGUGUAAUUAGGUCUACAUACAUUUUUGAAUAAGAAGACUGUUUAGAUAGUAAGCUUGUCACCUUUCUAGAGCUUUGCUGUCACUGUUCUGUGCAGGAUUUCAGGGGCCAUAUUCUACAAACUGUCAUAACUAAUGACAUGAUCGCAUUGAGACAAAAUAGUGCAUUUUAGACACAAGUCCCUCUAUGACAGGCUCUAACCUUUAGACUUGUGCCAAGUGCCAAGACAGGGUUCACCUUUUUGUAGUGCUCCCAACUGCUGCCUUAAAACUCUUGUCAACAUGGUGGGAAACUUGGCUGUAUGUACCAUAGUAUGAUUCCUGACAGUUUUUAUUAUUGAUUAAUGACAAAUAUUCUUAAUGAUGACUAACUAGUUUCCCCAAAUUCAAACUAACUUUGCCCUGCAUGGUCUGCAUGUGUCAUGUGUAAUCUUCUCCUGUUUGUCAUGUUUCUUUUGUUUGGAUACAGUCUAACUAUUCCCAAAGUAGUAAUAUAUCAAAAUUAUUUAAAUUGUAGAAAAUCAUGUCAAGGAGUUAUUUCUUUAUAUAUAAAGUUGACAAGUGAUGAGCCCAAAGACCAACAGUGGGGUGACAGUCAGGCAUUCAGGGAGACCUGAGGCCAACUGUGUAGAAUGCGGCCUCAGUAUGAUGGAUGGUCUGUGUUUUUAUAUUUGUGGUGACAAUAUAGUGUUACAAGGGACACCAUGCUGUUUUGAGAGCAAUGCCAUUGUGAAAUGCUUUAGAAACCAUUUUACAAAGUUGAUAGUUUCUCUUAGACCUUUCCAAUAAAAAUGGUCUCAAGAUAUUUUUAUAACUAGUAGCUACUAACAAGACUUAUGUAAUGAAAUGCUCUCAAAAUACUAUUAUGUUCUUAUAUUCAUUUUCUUGUUAUAUUAGACAAAUAUAUAUGGAUGGCAAAGAUAGGUGGAAUAUAUGGAUGGCAAAGAUAGGUGGAAUGAGGUAGACCUGUUCAUACAUGGACUGCUGGCAUGUAUGUGCAGGCCUCUUGGUCUGUAUUGCAACUUUCGACGUUUUUGUUUCUCUAAUACUUUUGAAAUAAUUGUGUAAGUGGAAAAUAUUUCCAGAGUAAUGAAGUACUUGAAAAAAAUUUCUAAUGUUGAAUGUUGGAUAAAGUUGAAUGUUGGAUAAAUUAUUGUAAGUCAAAGUUCUGCUAUUCCUUUUCUAAGUUAAGUACUUGAAAAAAAUGUCUUAAGUUGAAUGUUGGAUAAAUUAUUGUAAGUCAAAGUUCUGCUAUUCCUUUUCUAAGUUGAAAAUUUUUGUAGAGUUUUCACAGAUUUUGCAUAGAAAUAUGUUGAUUGUAAAAGUUUAUUCUUGUGUUUCUCGUGUUGAUUAUAUAAUAUUCUCAUGUUGAUUGUAAAAAUUUAUUCUAAGUUGAAAAUUUUGGUAGAGUUUUCAGGUUUCUGUGCACAAAAAUGUUUCUCGUGUUUGUAAAAUUUUUUUCUGUCCACAAAAAUGUUUCUUGUAAAAAUUUUUUCUAAAAUUUUUUUCUAAGUUGAAAAUUUUUGGAGAGUUUUCAGAUUUCUUUGCACAAAAAUGUUCUUGUGUUGAUUAUAUAAUAUUCUCAUGUUGAUUGUAAAAAUUUAUUCUAAGUUGAAAAUUUUUGUAGAGUUUUCAGGUUUCUGUGCACAAAAAUGUUGAUUGUUGAAUAAAAGUUUAGGAAGGGAGA